AGUGAACGCUGGCGGUAGGCCUAACACAUGCAGGUCGAACGGCAGCACAGUAAGAGCUUGCUCUUACGGGUGGCGAGUGGCGGACGGGUGAGGAAUACAUCGGAAUCUACUUUUUCGUGGGGGAUAACGUAGGGAAACUUACGCUAAUACCGCAUACGACCUACGGGUGAAAGCAGGGGAUCUUCGGACCUUGCGCGAUUGAAUGAGCCGAUGUCGGAUUAGCUAGUUGGCGGGGUAAAGGCCCACCAAGGCGACGAUCCGUAGCUGGUCUGAGAGGAUGAUCAGCCACGCUGGAACUGAGACACGGUCCAGACUCCUACGGGAGGCAGCAGUGGGGAAUAUUGGACAAUGGGCGCAAGCCUGAUCCAGCCAUACCGCGUGGGUGAAGAAGGCCUUCGGGUUGUAAAGCCCUUUUGUUGGGAAAGAAAAGCAGCAGGUUAAUACCCCGCUGUUCUGACGGUACCCAAAGAAUAAGCACCGGCUAACUUCGUG
rnacentral:rRNA from 1 species